rnacentral:misc_RNA from 1 species
GAUGAAGAACGUAGCGAAAUGCGAUACUUGGUGUGAAUUGCAGAAUUCCGUGAAUCAUCGAGUCUUUGAACGCACAUUGCGCCCCCUGGUAUUCCGGGGGGCAUGCCUGUCCGAGCGUCAUUACAACCCUCAAGCCCGGCUUGUGUAAUGGGCGGCCGUCUCUCCCCCCGGGGGGAGACGCCCCCGAAACUCAGUGGGGAUGUCGCGAUACCGAAGCCUCAGCUAAUGGGUAAACCACAGCUGCAAUGGCCGCGGCCGGCGUCCGCCUUCCACGGUCCGUCCGCCUAGCGCGGGCGGCCUUCUCAAGGUUGACCUCGGAUCAGGUAGGGAUACCCGCUGAACUUAAGCAUAUCAAUAAGCGGAGGA